rnacentral:sRNA from 1 species
GAAAAAUAGAGUCUUGACACCUCUCUUCUCCCUUCUUCAUUCUUCUACCAUUUUCAUUUUUUUUCUCUUCAACAAAACCCAUAAGUCCUAGGGAAAAGGAGGAGCUUUGGUGCGGCUAGAGGAAAAAGAGCAUUGAAGGCUCGCAAGGGAAACUGAAACAAGAGUAAAUGAGAGCUAAGGUGCAUAAGGGUUCAUUUUGGUGGCACAAAUGGGUAUCCGAGGAAGGUCAACGAGGGUUUAGGGUAAGAAUGGGUCGUGGUGAACCUAUAUAAGGAAUGAGGGUAGAGGGAGUAGAGACACACCAAAACUCAUUACAUUUUCAAAAAGAGAGAGUGAGUUAGAGAAGAGAGAAAGCUUUGGUGAGAAAAAGGAACGUGAGGAGCGAAAGUGAGUGGAGAAAGAAAACAAACCAGAUAAUGCAAUAGACUGAUAUUAAAGUACCGUGUCAAGAGAAUCAGCUCCAAGUGCAGCAAAUUUAGACUCUCCUGUAACAGCUGAAUCCUCUGACAGCGCUAAUUGUUUCUUACCUAUGUCUCCUGUAGCAUCUGCCCCAAUGAGUAGUUUAAUUAGAAGAAACCAUAAAGUACUACACAAUUAGAUGAAAUUGCAAAAGUAUGCAUGUCAUUGUUCCCUUGUCAUUGAUUCAAGUUACAUUUUCUGUUUGUG